rnacentral:tRNA from 1 species
UCUUCCGUAGUAUAGUGGUCAGUAUGCAAGCUUGUCAUUAAACACAAUGCGCUUGAGACCCGGGUUCAAUUCCCGGCGGGAGAG